AGCUACAUCACGACUGGAACGAUCGACUCGGAUGUGGCCGAUGGUGAUCAGCGAUACUUUGCUCUUCAAUUUAAUGACGGUAAUUUGUUUGCAUUAUGCAUAUAAAUAAUAGAUACAGAAUGCGUACUCCUAUCUCUUUUCAGUGAAAAUUUUGUCUCCACAAAAUGGCGGAUUUCAGAGGGUAUUUUGACUUGCCCCAGACUCCUGCGGCAGGGAAUUUCGCGCGAUUGUGAGGAGUGCGAAUUGGGUUUUUUCAACAAAGUUUGCAAAAAGUAUUUUAUAUCAGACUUGAAGUGGAAAAAAUCUGUAAAGAUGAUAAACGGUUUAAAAACCACAUCCCGUGCAGUGGCGUUUUUUUUUUAACGGAAAACAAUAGUUCUAAAAUAAAGUUUCAAGGUUGUUGUGGAAGCGAAAACAAAAGUUAAAACACAAAAGAUUAAGACAAACUCGAUACUCAAUAGGUAUGUUCUAAAAUAUUUCAACUGUUUUAUAAUAUAAAUGCAGGAGUUCGAUAAUCUUUCAAUUGAACUUACACAAUUACUUUUCAUAUUUUCUACUUUGCUUCAGUCUUGAGGCAACGAUUUCGAAACCAUAGUUUCCGACGAUUAUUUAGGCCAUUUACAAGUUCAUCGACAACAAAAAUUACUUGUUGUUUAAAAAUUACGUGUUGCUUGAAAACCUUCUGUUGUUUGCGCCUUCAAAGAACUUGAUGUUUCAAAAUCUAACCUUAAAUUGCAAAUUAGACAGCAAGCCAAAACGUUUUGACGAUUUGUUUAUACUUUAUAACUCUCACUCUUAGUCAAAUUCAAUAUGGCGGAUUUGAGAGGGCCAAUGAAAUGAAUAUAUAUAUAUAUAUAUAUUCCUGGAACGUUACCUUUAGAUAAACUGCCUAUCUUUUCUUAAUUGAAGCCAGAUCUGACACGCUUGUUUAUGCUUCGCAAAUCUCUCGCCAGAACGGAGUUCAGGGAGCGAGCAUGCCAUUUUAAUCAGUAAAGUCUACUUGGAAGUUUGACCUGAAUAAAUGCAUUAAUUAAUAGCCCUAUUAAAAGGCUUUUUUGUUUAAAUUUAAGCCGCUUUUCAAGAAUACAUAUUCAUGUUGGCGGAUUGACAGUGCUCUUCGCAUGCGUGAAAAGACUGGGACUGGCCUUCAAGUUUGGCUUCAAAUUUCCGGUUGGAUGUAGCGUUCCAGUUAUAUUCAUUUCACUCGAAAGGGCACGCAUGAAAGAAAGUGGAGACAUGAUUUGUGAUAAAGUACGCAUUCUACAUAUAUUCUUUCUAUGUAUGGUAUAAUGCAGAUUUGCGUACCUAUAAUGUUGCCAUACUACUCUAUAAUAUGAGGUUGCACAUUUGCUUACUUAUUGAAUUAAAUAAAUUCCUUGUAGUUUUGCAUGACGAAUAAUAUCAGUUUGUGAAAACACCACGUAAAUUUAUUAUUUGCCGAACUUUCGACCCAUAUAAGCUGAUAGGAUCCGGGCUUACCGAUCGAAAAACUCUGCAAAUAAUAAAUUUACGUGGUUUUUCCUCAAACCAAAACUGAUAUUUUUAAAUAAAGCUUUUACAGAACUGUUUAUACAGCAAGUUUGGUGCCUUGCUAAAUCAAACCAGUUACAACUGGUAAUUAUGACAUAUGGUUGGCGUUGGGUGUAUGAACCUAAAUAGUGCUAUUCACCACAUAGUAAUUGUUCAGCAUUUAUUGGUAUAUACAUAGUUUUAGUAUCCUUAAAGAAAGUAAAAAUGUUAUUAUUUUUGCGUUUCUCUGAAGCAUUUAGAACCACUUACAACGAUUAUAUUUAAAGAACAUUUAACAGAUGAAGAUGUCAAUGAAUGCACGAAGGUAGAGUAGGGCCUUUCUACUAAAUAUAUAGUGAACAUGCAGAUACAGAUAUUUCACA